rnacentral:rRNA from 1 species
GGGGAAUAUUGCACAAUGGGCGGAAGCCUGAUGCAGCAACGCCGCGUGAGGGAUGACGGCCUUCGGGUUGUAAACCUCUUUUAGCAGGGAAGAAGCGAAAGUGACGGUACCUGCAGAAAAAGCGCCGGCUAACUACGUGCCAGCAGCCGCGGUAAUACGUAGGGCGCAAGCGUUAUCCGGAAUUAUUGGGCGUAAAGAGCUCGUAGGCGGUUUGUCGCGUCUGCUGUGAAAUCCCGAGGCUCAACCUCGGGCCUGCAGUGGGUACGGGCAGACUAGAGUGCGGUAGGGGAGAUUGGAAUUCCUGGUGUAGCGGUGGAAUGCGCAGAUAUCAGGAGGAACACCGAUGGCGAAGGCAGAUCUCUGGGCCGUAACUGACGCUGAGGAGCGAAAGGGUGGGGAGCAAACAGGCUUAGAUACCCUGGUAGUCCACCCCGUAAACGUUGGGAACUAGUUGUGGGGACCAUUCCACGGUUUCCGUGACGCAGCUAACGCAUUAAGUUCCCCGCCUGGGGAGUACGGCCGCAAGGCUAAAACUCAAAGGAAUUGACGGGGACCCGCACAAGCGGCGGAGCAUGCGGAUUAAUUCGAUGCAACGCGAAGAACCUUACCAAGGCUUGACAUAUACGAGAACGGGCCAGAAAUGGUCAACUCUUUGGACACUCGUAAACAGGUGGUGCAUGGUUGUCGUCAGCUCGUGUCGUGAGAUGUUGGGUUAAGUCCCGCAACGAGCGCAACCCUCGUUCUAUGUUGCCAGCACGUAAUGGUGGGAACUCAUGGGAUACUGCCGGGGUCAACUCGGAGGAAGGUGGGGAUGACGUCAAAUCAUCAUGCCCCUUAUGUCUUGGGCUUCACGCAUGCUACAAUGGCCGGUACAAAGGGCUGCAAUACCGUGAGGUGGAGCGAAUCCCAAAAAGCCGGUCCCAG